rnacentral:rRNA from 1 species
CGCGUAGGCGGGCUGUCAAGUCUGGGGUGAAAUCCCGCGGCUCAACCGUGGAACUGCCUCAGAUACUGACGGUCUCGAGGGGGAUAGGGGCGAGCGGAACUAAUGGUGGAGCGGUGAAAUGCGUUGAUAUCAUUAGGAACUCCGGUGGCGAAGGCGGCUCGCUGGAUCUCUUCUGACGCUGAGGCGCGAAAGCUAGGGAGCAAACG